GCGGGCUUCUCGCCGGCCGCGGCGCGGCCACGGCGCCACCACGAGCUACUAGCGCCUUCUCCACCACCACCACCGUCGUCGGCAGAAGCCAUGUUCCACAGUAUCGUCAGCCGCCGAUCCGAUCGCCGAAUCUUGACAUCCUCGCCAGGUCUCAAUUCAUCUGGGAGCAUGUAGACAAGAUAUUCGGGCUCCACCGCAAGUACCCCUCCCGGCUCACGGCCGGUCUCCUGCUUUUGAGCGGUUCGUACUGCCUUUCCGGCCACGUUGCGCCAUACCUAUCUCGUUCUUCGAAAUCCCCCAGCCAUGAGAUUAAGUAAGGCUACGGAUGGAUCAACGAGACUCCCCUAGCUACCAGAGGAUGAAGAAAGUAACAGAAGCAGAUUUGGCAGAGGUUCUGCUCUACAUAUAUAUAGUAUCAUAAAGAUGAAAUAAUUGUACUCUCGACUUUAUCUAGUUACAUAUAUAUCUAGAUGCAUUCUAAUUAAGAUCCGUGUCUAAAAAAUUAAGUCACUUAUUUUAGGAUUGAGGGUAUACAUGGGUCGAUAUAUGAAUGGCAUUUGUUUU